rnacentral:rRNA from 1 species
CAACGCCGCGUGGAGGAAUGUAAAUCCCUUGGGAUGUAAACUCCUUUCGAUAGGGAAGAUUAUGACGGUACCUAAUAGAAGAAGCCCCGGCUAACUUCGUGC